GACGUAGGUGGCGAGCGUUGUUCGGAAUCACUGGGCAUAAAGCGCACGUAGGCGGCCAAGUCAGUCAGGUGUGAAAUACCUCGGCUCAACCGAGGAACUGCGCCUGAUACUGCUUGGCUUGAGGUCCGGAGGGGAGAGUGGAAUUCCCGGUGGAGCGGUGAAAUGCGUAGAGAUCGGGAAGAACGCCGGCGGCGAAAGCGACUCUCUGGUCGGAAUCUGACGCUGAGGUGCGAAAGCUAGGGGGAGCAAACGGG
rnacentral:rRNA from 1 species